rnacentral:lncRNA from 1 species
UAUGGUAAGGGUAGGAUGAUGGAGGUUUUAUGGUGCAACAUGGUCGAAUUUAAGUGCUGGACCUUAAUCCUGGCUUGGCUGCUGGUAUGUUCGAGCUUCAGUGCUUGGAAGUGAUAGACCAAAUGUGUGAGGGGUAUGCACGACUGAUCCCGUAAGCUGUUCAAGUUGUGGGGCUGAAUAUUACUCCGCUAUGCUGAGGAAGUGGACUUUUGACCCGUGCACUUUUAUGUUUUGUUUUUGAGCCCAAGUGUAGGAGAAAAGCUUAGGCUUGGCUAGUUACUAAGCAGGGUAUCUUUUGUCUAUCAUGCUUAUUAGAUUAGCUGUUGGUGUUUGUAUAAGGGUUGAGAUACCCCUAAAGUAUCCCUUUAAUUUAC